GGCAGACGGGUGAGUAAUGCAUAGGAAUCUACCUAGUAGUAUGGGAUAGCCACUAGAAAUGGUGGGUAAUACUGUAUAAUCCCUGCGGGGGAAAGAUUUAUCGCUAUUAGAUGAGCCUAUGUUAGAUUAGCUAGUUGGUAGGGUAAAGGCCUACCAAGGCAGUGAUCUAUAGCUGGUCUGAGAGGAUGAUCAGCCACACUGGAACUGAGAUACGGUCCAGACUCCUACGGGAGGCAGCAGUGGGGAAUAUUGGACAAUGGGCGCAAGCCUGAUCCAGCUAUGCCGCGUGAGUGAGGAAGGCCUUAGGGUUGUAAAACUCUUUCAGUGGGGAAGAUAAUGACGGUACCCACAGAAGAAGUCCCGGCAAACUCCGUGCCAGCAGCCGCGGUAAUACGGAGGGGGCAAGCGUUGUUCGGAAUUAUUGGGCGUAAAGGGCAUGUAGGCGGUUCGGUAAGUUAAAGGUG
rnacentral:rRNA from 1 species